UACGUAGGGUGCAAGGCGUUAAUCGGAAUUACUGGCGUAAGGCGUGACGCAGGCGGUUUUGUAAGUUUUGUCGUGAAAGCCCCGGGCUCAACCUGGGGAAUUGCGAUGAAGACUGCAAGGCUUGAAUCUGGCAGAGGGGGGGUAGAAAUUCCACGUGUAGCAGGGUGAAAUGCGUAGAGAUGAUGGAGGAACACGAUGGCGAAGGCAGCCCCCCUGGGUCAAGAUUG
rnacentral:rRNA from 1 species